rnacentral:rRNA from 1 species
GUAGGUGGCAAGCGUUGUCCGGAAUUAUUGGGCGUAAAGCGCGCGCAGGCGGUUCUUUAAGUCUGAUGUGAAAGCCCACGGGCUCAACCGUGGAGGGUCAUUGGAAACUGGAGAACUUGAGUACAGAAGAGGAAAGCGGAAUUCCACGUGUAGCGGUGAAAUGCGUAGAGAUGUGGAGGAACACCAGUGGCGAAGGCGGCUUUCUGGUCUGUAACUGACGCUGAGGCGCGAAAGCGUGGGGAGCAAACAGGAUUAGAUACCCUGGUAGUCCACGCCGUAAACGAUGAGUGCUAAGUGUUAGGGGGUUUCCGCCCCAUAGUGCUGCAGCUAACGCAUUAAGCACUCCGCCUGGGGAGUACGGCCGCAAGGCUG